AAUAGUCUGACAGGAAAGUUGGUAAAAAGGAAGUAUUUUAGUUCAACUUUGGAUCUGCAGUCAUCUACUGCUAAAUGAUUCGGAAUAACCAGGAUUCUGUGAAAAAUAAAUUCUUUGGUAACAGCUGCUCAACUGAUUUUUUAUGCACAUGCAAGAACAAAGAAUAUAUUUUCAAAGCAUGAUGAUGGUUCGAUUCAAAUCAAAGGGUUUUCACAAUGCUUUUCAACUUCAUCUAAAUAUUUACCUUGGCAACAAUGCUAUAAACAGUUAUUGUUUUGCUAGUAUUAAUAAGAUAAUUUACCUAAGUCCACGAACUGUAAGCAACAAAACCAACAAGAGCAACUACUUUAUUUGGAGGUCUCCUGUUUCUCAACAAAUAAUAUUAAUGAAACACACAUUCUGUGCCAUCUGAAGGCUGAAGUCUUCCUGAAGUUGAUGGAACAGAAGUUAAUAUGCUGGGAAUGCAAAUUCAAAAGUCUACAUCAGUAUUUAAAGACACACAGGAAGCUAUUCCAGAUUACAGCUGAAGCAGAGUAAAUUACAAACAACACAGUGAAAGCUGAAUAAAAGGCCCUGGGAUAAAAAUUACAGAUAUCGGGGGAAAAGGACUCUGAGACAAGAAGGAUUGUGAGACAAGUUUGUAAGAUUUGUUUCCUGCAAAAUGUUGUGUACCAGAGGACAUUCUAGAAAUGGUUUUCAGAGCAAACUCCAUGGCACAACUGUACUCAAAAAUUAAUUAGAAACAAGCAAAGAAACCUCAUCACUACAAAAAAUAGUAUAAUUCUUGAUCUUAGUUUUACUAGGUACGUCCCUGGCUUUGUAUAUCAUGGGAUUCCUUAUGCUUGGCUGGGUCCAUUUACCAAUGUUCUGAACUCUUUCAGCCACCUGACCCCAUAAAUUCCUGUCUCAAUUUCUGAAUCCCCAAUCGGAUCUGAGAUUGCCAAGAUGCAUUUUGUUAUUUCUUUGAAUAUUCUGAUAGUAGGCAGGAGGAUGAUUUGAUUAUACACCAAAAUGUAUUUUUAAAAAAUAUAAAUAUAUCAAAAGGGAGUAGAAAAAAAAGAAAGUGUAAACCAGCUCUCAGGAUCACUCAGUGGGAAGCAGCAUGCACUGUAGCUAUUGUCCCUGGUCCUGAAAUACUUGAAAUGAAAUCAAAAAAUCACCCAAGACAAAGGCAAGCACACAGUGAAAAAUGAAUACAUUCUUUCCUAUAUAUACCAGUUUUUCUUUACCCAAAUUUUAGAAGAGGCCAUUUUACAUUUCCAGAAGAUUUUUAAAAAAGAGCUAAGAUCAUUAAUUGUUCACUGUGACAAUCAAUCUCUUUGAGAAAAAUGAAUUGGUAAAAUAUAUUUCAAUGGAGACUUUCAACAGCAGUUUUCAGCAGUUCCAAUAGCAGAAUAUGCUGCAAAGUCAAAGAAUAAUCAACAGACAAUGCCAUUACGCAGUAAUUCUUUAAGACGACCUGUAGCUAUUAAAACACUUUCCUCUUCCUUCACAUAAGGCUCCUUUACUUGCUACUGUUAAGAAAAAACUAGGGGGAUAUAGUUCAUCUCUUGAUUUCCUGUGUGGAGUGAAGCAUUUGAAUGCCCAUAAAUCCUUCAUUCAGUUCAGUUCCACAAAUAAAGGAAUGAAACACAGUACUAAUAUUUGCUGAAAAGUUGAAUGUUUCAUUUUUACAUGAAGACCCUUAUGAAAAUUAGUCUUUAAAAGGUACAAAACUCCAUAACAUAUUAAGUAAUCAUAAGAUGUCAAUUGCAUAUGUAAUCCAUUAAUGCUCGGUAAGCAAUUAACUGCUUUAACUGCUGUCACAAUUUAUGUUCCAGUACAGAAGACAAUGCAUUUUAUCACACCAGAUAGGUAAGGACAUAUAAUAAAAAGAGUAACUUUGCAGUUAUUUGAAAGAAGAUGUAAAAUGUGUAUUUGGGAGCAGAGUGCAAAACAAUCAAGUCAUAUCCAAUCUGAACAUAUAUGGUGGUUUCCCCCACCCUCCAUCCCCUAGUAUUUUUAGUCAACAGACAAAAAUUGUUGAGAUAAUUGACUCACAAAACUGUAAACUGGCCCGUCAACUAUGUAGAUUUCUUACAUCUAUUAUGACUAACAGAAACCUUGAUGUAAUAAAGAGCAGACACUUAGCAGGAAAAUUAUCUUAAAACAAUACCUACCGGUCUGGUUGUACCCGCUGAAUGUGGAGGCUGGUUACGAACUGUAACAGAUAUUAGAGAUUUCUGACUUAGCAUUUAUUUCAAAAUCAACUUCUGUCUAUAUUAUAAUUAGUACAAAGCAUGUAUGUAUUACCUAUGUUAUCUUUUCUUUGUGUUCCAGGGCUUUUUUGUACUUUGAAGCAUGGAAAAGAAAUAGAUUAUCUGUGUCAGAUAAGCCACAAAUGGGUAGUAGAUGGCGAUGUUACAUUACUACUUCUGAGAAUGGAAGCAAGGAGACCCCAGUGAUUUUUUCAAAAUUUAUUACAUAUCCACCAGCUGUCACUAACACACUCCUAUCCCACAGCACACAUGAAGUAAUUUGAACAUUUUAUUACAGAUUAUUUAAAUCACAUCCUAUUUGUUGCAAGCUAAAGACACCCACUUGUACCUUGUUCUCAACAGUGUUGGAAGCUGUUUUGUUUUGUGCUAUAUUCUGUAGAUGUUCUACCAGCAGUGGUUAAAACAAAGAGAGCUGAUGUAAAAGUUCCUGACCCCACUCUCUGUGUUUAUGGGAUACAUGUGUUAGAGCACCAGCUUCACCACGGCCAUGCUGAUGGCAACCUGUAGAUGCAACAUUCAAACUGGGUAGUGCAAGAGAUGAAAAAAAUACCUCUAGUUCAGACAAGUACACAAUUUCUAACAGGCAGGGAGGUUUAGGAUUCUGGCUUGAGUUUCUGCUGCUUAUUUCCCAGGAAGGCGAAGUCACCAUGUCAGUCACAAUAAGUGGAGGGAACUCUGCGGUGCAUCACACGGUUUAUCAAAUCACUUCCAGCUAUCAGACUGCCCUGGAGCCAGUCAGAAUGGGUUUCUGGGUAUGCUCUCAGUGAAGCAGCUCCCACUCUGAGCAACCUGGUGCCAAUUUACUCUCCUUGCAGCAGGAAGCUGGUGUGGAUAACCACCAAAGGUGCCUCCUAAACUCAAAUACUCUAUGCAUAGAGUGAUUUUACCAAUUUAGAAAAAUGAAUCAGCAAUGCAGCCAAAAUUAAUAGUAGCAUACAGGAGGAAACCCUGACAGUGACUCUGCUAGGACUUGUAUUGCUAUUUGCUGUGAAGGACACAUUCCUGAGAGACAAGGAAGGGACCCAAGCCCAUGACUUUGCUGGCAUGACUAAAGCAGGACCCAUCCAGCAGUAAUCCCAUGUACUCCAACCAGAAUGGUGCAAGAAAAAUGCUCCUCCUAACUGUGUGUUACACACAGCUGGCUAUCAGAACCAAAAUACCUACACUGUGUUCUUUAGAAAGAAGCAAAAUAUUAAAUUAUAGACCAAAUUGUUUAAAUGGAAGUUUCUCUCCCCAGAAUAUAUGAACAUACAUAGUCCUUUAUGAAAAGUCAGGCUCCCUAGAUUCCCGAUUUAGUUACAGGUAUAAUGGUCAGUCUGAUGACCAGCCAGCUACAGCUUCCUCUGAGGGUCAGCCUUAAAAGCAUUCUUGAUUAGAGCUCUCUAAGUUUUCACUUAGCUUUUCAUAAAUGCCUUCUGUAACAAUUCCCACCACCACUGAAAACCAGGAAGCAACCUGGCUGGGUGAAAGCUAUGCUAAGUAAAAGAAGAAAGAUCCUACAUGAUAAACAUGUUAAUGAAAUCACCCUUAGUAUCACAAAAGCAGUAAUAUUACUCAGAUGUUAAAUUAGAAAUCCAUUUCUAGAAUACAAAAAUUGUUAUGUUACCUUCUACUUCUCUCCUAGCUACCCCAGGACUGGGAGGAGCUCCAAGACCUUUUCAGAGAAAGAAGAGAAGCUGUACAUAGCAUGAGAAAAGCAGCAGAUUGAGAAAGAAAACCAGAAAGAACAUUGGCCCAAGGCAGCUUUACACAAUUCAACUCUGGUCUAGAUAGAUUACAGUCACCUGUAGGAAAUAACUGUUUGUAGCAGCAUGGAGAACCAGACUGGUGUGAAUUACAAAUCAUCAAGUACAUUCAUGUUUAAUAUCAUCUACUAUUUUAAUUUUACAUUACAGUUGAAAGUGAAUUUAAUUCCUUCAAAAUGUUCACUCUUCACAAACGUUUGGUUAUCCAGUGUGAUCUGACAUGCUGUUCUUGAAACUCUCAUGAGCAGAGCACAGACCUGUGCUCAAACACUGGGGAAUAAAUGAGCACAGCACUUACACCCUGCAACAAUAAGCCUGAUCCCUGUCAUUCAGAACACUGAGUAGUCUGUUUCUGGUACAUCUGAGUAAGAAAUGUGAUGAAAGCAAUACUUCCCACUUCAUAUAAUGUAUUGUAUCCUGAAGAACUGUAUUACUAAGUUGCCUCUAUACACCACUGUGCACUUGGGACAGCUGUACCAACUGGUUUAAUAGUUCAGAUUGAAAGAAAGAAGAUUUUCAAUCAUGCAUAACCAUGCUGAAUUACUUGAUUUCUGCAAUAUCAUCAAGCAUGUACUGGGUUCCUAAAACUGCAUGGCAAAAACACGACAGGACAGAGAUGUGAUGGAAAUACUGAAGGCAUCCCUUAGCUAUGACACAGCCUCCUGUGCUUUCUCACCAUGUGCCCACAUGUGAGAUCUGCCCAGGCGCUCUCUGUGGUCUGUGAGUUCUGUCACAGGGUCGGCAGAGUAAAGGCUGCACAUGAGGCUGAAAUGGGACUGUCUCCAGAGAUGUUAGAUCUCUGCUUUGGCUGAACAUCUGUUCCAAAGAUGCUAAACCCUAGCAUGUAGUAUCUGUUCUAGCUGAGACCCAGGCUCUGCCAAUUUCCAUCACAAGCUUCUGACUGAGAAUGACUCUGUGAGAGGAGAAGCAGUGAAGCUGCACAGGAGUAGGGCACUGCCUGACAACAUUCCAUUGCUCUUGUUUUAUGCAGGAGGAGGACUAAAGCCAGCUCCUUCCCGCAGAAGGGAGACACAGGCACACGUUCCUACGUCAGGGCACCAGACAGGGGGAGCAAGAUCUUCAGGCAUGAGGAUUUGGAAAGUUAACAAACGUUCACUACAAGGGAGAGAAACACAGAGGAGAGGACGGUCGGAACCCAGCCCUGGAAAUAACGAUCCGGAAUUUUUUGAGAGAGGAAAGACAAGAGGAAUGAACCAAUGAUGAAAAGAAGCAGAUUUCCUAAAUCAAAACUUUUGCCUCAUGUGUUUUAACAAAUUUAUGUUUUUCAUGAAAUCCUGAACAAUCUUACCAAUUGCAGCAUUCCAAAUUUUGAUUUUGACUCUUACCUGUGAACUAAGUUCUCUGGAAAAAAUGCUACAAAGGGAAUUCUCAAGGCAUUUGAGCAGUUAAAAUAAACUCAAUAAAAAGCUGUUCUGAGCACCA